AUCAGUCGGCAACACAAACAAACACACAGCUGAGGAAUAAAGUGCAGCUCAACGAGCAGAGAAGAAGCUGCACUUCAGCCUUUAACAUCCACGACGUCCACUUUGGUUGAGUCAACACAGACGACAUACUGCAGAGUAAUGGCUUGUUUGCACAGUAGAAAAGUCAUUAGACUGCAAGCAUUGGAUUAAUGACAGAAAAUGGAAAGUACUGAAGACCGAAAAGGCUCGGAAACCGCAUAUUUCAUCUUUAGUUCAUCUAUAGCAGGGGUGUCAAACAUGUGGUCUGUGGGCCAGAAGCGGCCCUCCAGAGGGUCCAAUCCGGCCCCGGGGGCCUCUGAGAAAACGCCUGCCGAAGCCAAAGCAGGGCUUCAGAGGGAAAAGGUGUUGAGAGAAACCUAAUCUGUGAGCGGGAUGGUGGGAGGAGGAGGUGGUGAGGAAAGGCUGGUGGCGGUCCGAAGGAAAAGGACCUCCUCGCCGCUCACAUACCUGACAUACCUCACAGAUUCUCACAAGCUGAUACCAAACAGAUCGCCUUAACAGAGAGCCCCGUAAACAAAGAAGGCAACUCAUUCUGAGUUUGGUCCAAAAAGCAGCCUGUACUUAAAUAUAGGUGUUACUGUUUGUAGACGACAAUCAGCUGGUAAAAAUAAAGUGCAUUUAUUAGUGGUGA
ensembl:lncRNA